CAAUAAAUAUUUAGUCGAAUCCUCGUUAACCUCUGAUAAGUUUGCAUCAAUUUCAAUCUUCAAAAUGUAUAAAUACAGAUCUUUUUCGAAGAGAACCAUAACUACAAAUAAGUCAUCAAUUAGAAUUUCAUCUCAAACUGAAACACGUAAAUAUUUCAAGUGUCCUCAGUGCCACAGAAAAUGCUUUGUUCCACCUGAUAAAACAAAGAAGGAUAUCCGUUUUGCCAUAACUUAUUGUGCCAAUUGUGGCUGCAGUUUUGUAGUACACAAAUUCUUUGCUCGAUUUCAAAACUGUUACAGCUAUCGUUUUUACGAUGGUUCAGUAUAAAAAUCUUUUAACAGUCUUUCCAAUUUUGAUGUAACUUUUUGAUGGUAGUUCAGUUCAUUACUUUUAUUUACCGUUAAAUGUUCACUAUGUAGUUGGAAUUGUGUGUAUGCAUCAUCGACGUGCAUUCAUUUUAUUGCUUCAAUAAAAAAAUAAAAAAAAAAUAUAAAAAUAAAUUACAUAUCUAUAACUGCUAUUUAUAGUUAAAAAUGUAUAUUUUCGUGAAACUGAGUUAUAAGUAGUAAAAAAAAAUAUUUUAUGUUUAGGUCAUUUUUCCAUUGUGAAUCUACAGUAUUUUGUCUUAAUUAAUCAUUGAUAAGUAAAAAAAAAAUUAUAUUAUAUAUUUUUAUUAUUAUAUGUGAAUCCAAAGAAUACAAUUAAAAUUUUAUCAUUCAAUUA